GAUGAACGCUGACAGAAUGCUUAACACAUGCAAGUCUUUGGCGAAUCUGUGCUUGCACAGGCUAGCCAAGGCGGACGGGUGAGUAACGCGUAAAGAACUUGCCCUGCAGACAGGGAUAACAGACGGAAACGACUGAUAACACCUGAUACAGUUGCCGGCACGCAUGUGCCUGGCAAUGAAGAGAGAUGCUGCAGGAGAGCUUUGCGUCCUAUUAGCUUGUUGGUGAGGUGACGGCUCACCAAGGCGAUGAUAGGUAGCCGGCCUGAGAGGGUGAACGGCCACAAGGGGACUGAGAUACGGCCCUUACUCCUACGGGAGGCAGCAGUGGGGAAUAUUGGACAAUGGGGGCAACCCUGAUCCAGCAAUUCUGUGUGCACGAAGAAGGUUUUCGGAUUGUAAAGUGCUUUCAGCAGGGAAGAAGAAAGUGACGGUACCUGCAGAAGAAGCGACGGCUAAAUACGUG
rnacentral:rRNA from 1 species